rnacentral:rRNA from 1 species
CAGCAGCCGCGGGAAUACGAAGGGGGCUAGCGUUGCUCGGAAUUACUGGGCGUAAAGGGCGCGUAGGCGGACAGUUCAGUCGGGGGUGAAAGCCCUGGGCUCAACCUCGGAAUUGCCUUCGAUACUGGCUGUCUUGAGUAUGAGAGAGGUGUGUGGAACUCCGAGUGUAGAGGUGAAAUUCGUAGAUAUUCGGAAGAACACCAGUGGCGAAGGCGACACACUGGCUCAUUACUGACGCUGAGGCGCGAAAGCGUGGGGAGCAAACAGGAUUAGAUACCCCUGUAGUCCCUGUCUCUUAUAC